CGGACGGGUGAGUAAUGUCUGGGAAACUGCCUGAUGGAGGGGGAUAACUACUGGAAACGGUAGCUAAUACCGCAUAACGUCGCAAGACCAAAGAGGGGGACCUUCGGGCCUCUUGCCAUCGGAUGUGCCCAGAUGGGAUUAGCUAGUAGGUGGGUAACGGCUCACCUAGGCGACGAUCCCUAGCUGGUCUGAGAGGAUGACCAGCCACACUGGAACUGAGACACGGUCCAG
rnacentral:rRNA from 1 species